rnacentral:lncRNA from 1 species
GUGAACCACAGGACUGAUCACACGUGUGUUUUCCAUUGAAUUUAAUUUAAUGGACUUGCAGCUUCAUCUGUCAGAUGUGCGUUGGCCACCUCCGGCAGCAGCAGGAUGUGAGUGGGCUGCUGGGCUCAACUCGAGGGCCCCCUGCCAGGGCCCUGUAAGGUGGAGCAAAAGGAUGGUGGCUUUCCUGAGGUCUCCCUGAAAUGAAUGUAUUUCUUCCCCCAAAAGAGCUGAUAUUUAAUGUUUUAAUAGGGAUUUUUCCCUUCCACUUAUCACUCUGGACAGGCAUCCCACCCCACACUCUUGCACACACGUGCCCACACAUCCUCCUCCCAGCCCCCCUCCACCUGCCUAAUGUUAUGCAACCUCUUCUGAUGUAUCCACCAAACCAGUACUGAAUGUGGCCGAGUUUUCAGUAAACCUUAUUACCUACCGU